CAGAGGGUGCAAGCGUUAAUCGGAAUUAUUGGGCGUAAAGGGCUUGUAGGUGGUUAUAUAAGUUAGAUGUGAAAACCCUGGGCUUAACCUGGGACGUGCAUAUAAUACUGUAUAGCUAGAGUAUGGUAGAGGAGAGGGGAAUUCCUGGUGUAGCAGUGAAAUGCGUAGAGAUCAGGAGGAACAUCAGUGGCGAAGGCGCCUCUCUGGACUAAUACUGACACUGAGGAGCGAAGGCGUGGGGAUCAAACAGGAUUAGAUACCCUGGUAGUCCACGCGGUAAACGAUGAAUACUAGCCGAUGGGGGGUAGAUCCCUUAGUGGCGCAGCUAACGCGAUAAGUAUUCCGCCUGGGAAGUACGGCCGCAAGGUUA
rnacentral:rRNA from 1 species